rnacentral:rRNA from 1 species
AACGAACGCUGGCGGCAGGCCUAACACAUGCAAGUCGAGCGCACUUUCGGGUGAGCGGCGGACGGGUUAGUAACGCGUGGGAACGUACCCUCUUCUACGGAAUAGCCUUUGGCAACGAAGAGUAAUACCGUAUACGCCCUUUGGGGGAAAGAUUUAUCGGAGAAGGAUCGGCCCGCGUUAGAUUAGAUAGUUGGUGGGGUAACGGCCUACCAAGUGUACGAUCUAUACCUGGUUUUAGAGGAUGAUCAGCAACUCUGGGACUGAGACACGGCCCAGACUCUUACGGGAGGCAGCAGUGGGGAAUCUUAGACAAUGGGCGCAAGCCUGAUCUAGCCAUGCCGCGUGAGUGAUGAAGGCCUUAGGGUAGUAAAGCUCUUUCGCCUCUGAUGAUAAUGACAGUAGCAGGUAAAGAAACCCCGGCUAACUCCGUGCCAGCAGCCGCGGUAAUACGGAGGGGGUUAGCGUUGUUCGGAAUUACUGGGCGUAAAGCGCACGUAGGCGGAUUGGAAAGUUGGGGGUGAAAUCCCGGGGCUCAACCCCGGAACUGCCUCCAAAACUAUCAGUCUAGAGUUCGAGAGAGGUGAGUGGAAUUCCAAGUGUAGAGGUGAAAUUCGUAGAUAUUGGAGGAACACCAGUGGCGAAGGCGGCUCCCUGGCUCGAUACUGA